GCCAGCAGCUAUAUCACCCUGCAACUUGCAAUUGAAAACCCACUGAAGCUAAGCAGGUGUGAGCCUGGUCAGUACCUGAAUGAGAGACCUCCUGGAAAGAAACGGAGGUUGCUGCUGGAA
rnacentral:rRNA from 1 species